rnacentral:tRNA from 1 species
GCCCCUGUAGCUCAGCUGGAUAGAGCAUCGGUUUCCUAAACCGGUUGUCGGCAGUUCAAAUCUGCCCAGGGGUA